GACCGCGUAGUUCAGCUGGCAGAGCAUUGGGCUAGUAUUCCAAAGGUCGUAGGUUCGAUUCCCACCGUGGCCG
rnacentral:tRNA from 1 species